GUGCCAGCCGCCGCGGUAAUACGAACUGUGCAAACGUUAUUCGGAUUCACUGGGCUUACAGGGUGCGUAGGCGGCCUGUUAAGUAGGGUGUGAAAGCCCCCGGCUCAACCGGGGAAUGGCGCCCUAAACUGGCGGGCUGGAGUGAGAUAAGGGUGUGUGGAACUUCCGGUGGAGCGGUGAAAUGUGUUGAUAUCGGAAGGAACGCCGGUGGCGAAAGCGACACACUGGGUCUCAACUGACGCUGAGGCACGAAAGCCAGGGGAGCGAACGGGAUUAGAUACCCUUGUAGUCC
rnacentral:rRNA from 1 species